rnacentral:lncRNA from 1 species
AUCCCAUCCAACAAGCCUGGAGGUAAUUCUUAACAAAAGAUCCAAGAGAUGGCUUACACGCAAAUGAAUCCCAUCCAACAAGCCUGGAGGUGAUUCUCAACAAAAUACAAUCAGAGAUACGAACUAAGACAGACGGUCUUCCGGAAUGAGGGUCUUCAGGUAAUGGCACUGGUCGAUCAACUGUGAGCAUUCUGAACAAUCUGGUAAAGGAGUGAUCUUCUCUUUC